CAGUCGCCGCGGGAAUACGAAGGGUGCAAGCGUUACUAGGAAUUACUGGGCGUAAAGCGUGCGUAGGUGGUGGUUUAAGUCCGUUGUGAAAGCCCUGGGCUCAACCUGGGAAUUGCAGUGGAUACUGGGUCACUAGAGUGUGGUAGAGGAUAGUGGAAUUUCCGGUGUAGCAGUGAAAUGCGUAGAGAUCGGAAGGAACAUCUGUGGCGAAGGCGACUAUCUGGGCCAACACUGACACUGAGGCACGAAAGCGUGGGGAGCAAACAGGAUUAGAUACCCCGGUAGUCCCUGUCUCUUAUAC
rnacentral:rRNA from 1 species